CCUACGGGAGGCAGCAGUGGGGGAUAUUGCACAAUGGGGGAAACCCUGAUGCAGCGACGCCGCGUGGGCGAAGAAGUAUUUCGGUAUGUAAAGCCCUAUCAGCAGGGAAGAAGAAAUGACGGUACCUGAGUAAGAAGCACCGGCUAAAUACGUGCCAGCAGCCGCGGUAAUACGUAUGGUGCAAGCGUUAUCCGGAUUUACUGGGUGUAAAGGGUGCGUAGGCUGUGAGGUAAGUCAGCGGUGAAAUGCCCCCGCUCAACGGGGUGAAGUGCCAUUGAUACUGCCUUGCUGGAAUGCGGAUGCCGUGGGAGGAAUGUGUGGUGUAGCGGUGAAAUGCAUAGAUAUCACACAGAACACCGAUUGCGAAGGCAUCUCACGAAUCCGCGAUUGACGCUGAUGCACGAAAGCGUGGGUAUCAAACAGGAUUAGAUACCCCUGUAGUC
rnacentral:rRNA from 1 species